UACGUAGGGGGCUAGCGUUGUCCGGAAUCAUUGGGCGUAAAGAGCGUGUAGGCUGCUCGGUAAGUCCGCUGUAAAAGUCAAAGGCUCAACCUUUGAAUGUCAGUGGAUACUGCCGGGCUAGAGUCCGGAAGAGGCGAGUGGAACUCCUGGUGUAGCGGUGGAAUGCGUAGAUAUCGUAAGGAAGACCAGUGGCGAAGGCGGGUCUCUGGACAGUUCCUGACGCUGAGGCGCGAAAGCGUGGGGAGCGAACAGG
rnacentral:rRNA from 1 species